rnacentral:lncRNA from 1 species
UCGGCUAGCCAUUUUGGAUAAGGUUUUAAGUUGUUACAAAAUCCAGCAAGGUGCAGCAUAUGAUUAGGGUUUUGAUGCUGAUAUCCACUCAAGAUUGGAUAUUUCGAUUAGAAAAAUUGGCUAAUGCAAAACAAAGGAUGACAGCAAUAAAAUUGUACGGUCCCUCUCAAAUGUAGCAGUUCACUAACGAAACAGUCGCAGAUUGAAUGGUCCUCUCACAUGCAACAAUUCACUAACAAAACAGUCGCCGUACGUUCCUGCUAUUCGAUGGACUAAUGGCCCAUAUUUAAACCAUGGAUAUAAUUACCUAAAUUCUAGUUCUGAAGCAACUCAAUAGCUGAUGUGAUUCGAAUUUAUAAAUUAUAUAUUUUGGUAUAAUAAAGGAAACAAAAAAUAAAAAAUGAAUUGUAAAUUUAAAUUUUAAUUUGAUAAAAAAAUAUAAAUAAAGAAUAAAUACGAAUAAAGAAUUUGUGAAUUAGAAACUAUAUAGAAAUAGUUUAUCCAAUUAAUUCCUGU